CCUUGGCAUUGCAGAGCUGCUCUAGGCCGAGCUGCAUCUGUGCCAGUCUCUUCCCCAAGAGCCGGAGUUGGGUCGCAUCCCCUUGAGGACGGGGGAACGGGGCGGCAGAGUGCAUCUGUCGCCGACACUUCUCCUCGCUGUCCACUAAGGCCCGUGCCUCGAGUGGUGGGAGUUCUUUCUGAAGUUGGGAUGACUCCCGCUGCAGAUUGUGCACCUCGGUCAGCACCAGCUGCUGCCACUCCUCCAGCACGUUGACCCGCUGCUUCAACGUGUCCCGUUCCCGGAGAAGCUCCUCCAGCUGAUUCGCGUCCACGCCCGAACCUCAUGGCCGGCGUCGGACGUUUGCCAGAUGGUCAGUAAAGUCUGCCAUUUCUGGCGUAAACUGGAGCCUACUACUUGUGGAGCAACUGUGCCUGGUCCCUGUGAUAAAGGGGUCUUUUUGGUGAGGGGACCUUAACUGUGGGAGCAGAGAGGGUAGGGAACUUGCAAGUAGGCCAUUUAAGGCCCUCUGAUUUGACCGGAAGUCAAGGCCACACUUAAUACUGAAUCUUCGUUUCAGGCCUCAUACCAGAAUUGAUUCUUUGAUGCCUUGACAUCAAUUACACCUUGGUGAUGACUGAGACUUUUAGGGAGGAAGACAAAUGCUUCCCUGGAAGCACAAUUGGCCAGAAAGGAGAAGUGGUCAUCAGCAAACUCAAGUAUAUGAACUCUCAUUGACAUUCACUCGGUUGAUCCUAAGGGAAUCCCCAGGUACUAAGCGACCUGGGGAAGGGGUAACAUCCUCCAGCAUCAUGGCAUCUGGCAAUGGAGUGGGGACAGGGGAGAGCACCCUUGCCAGCAGGUAGGACAUGCCAUGUGGCCCAGGUUUGGCUCCAUCCUGUAGCAAAGAGGCCUUGCUAACUCCUGAACUUGUGGGGUACUGCUUCCAUGACCCAAGGAAUAGUGGGCAGCUGGGUAUGGAGGCUCAAGGUCUGGGAGAAUCCCGAAGAUCCCAGUGCAUGACCAGUGAUUGCUGCUCUACUAUAGUAUAAUGCAGGGCCAAGGAGGGCGGUUUCUUGCAUCAGAAGCCCAGAGACAGUGUAUGCACAUCGUGGGUGGUCCAGAGGCUCCAGGAAGCGUAAGAGGAGGUCGCUGAAGCCUCUUCACUGAAGGAGUCUCUGAGGCUCUGACAGGAGUGCCUGGUGAUUUUAAUUUGGACAGUUUGCAGAGCCUUUUGUUGGAGCAGACCCCCGCUGAAGAUCUUGAUCAACAGGAGGCAGGGCACACCGUGGAGGCCCACACAGGGCAGCGCCAGGGCCAGUCAGGAGGCAGAAGGAGCAAGGGGAAAACGUGGGUGAGAGCCUUUCUUGUGGAUUCCACAGGAAGCUAGGAGUGAGGCGGUGAAAACAGGUGUUAGAUUGGCUAGUUUGAAUCAUUUCAGUGGGCUCAGGGCUCAGUGGUGAUGCGGGGUCGGUGAGCCGAGGAGUCGAAAGAAAGAUUUCUUAGACUCUCAAGAUCUGGCAGUAGUGCUCUUUUAUUUAGAGAAUAGUGUGGAAUAGCAUGGGGACAGGACCCAUGGGCAGUCAGAGCUUCUGCUGCCGCCGCUUCUGCUGCCCCCGCUGGCAUGGGGACAGGGCCCAUGGGCAGGCAGAGCAGCUGCUGCUGCCCCCGCUGGCAUGGGGACAGGACGCAUGGGCAGGCAGAGCUGCUGCUGCUGCCCCCACUGGCAUGGGGACAGGACCCAUGGGCAGGCAGAGCUGGUGCGUGGGGACAGGACCCACGGGCGGUCAGAGCUCCUGCUGCUGCCCUGAGUUGAGGGUUAGGGCUAAUUUUUAUAAGGCAUGGGUACGUGACUUAUCUUUAC
rnacentral:lncRNA from 1 species